rnacentral:rRNA from 1 species
ACGCUGGCGGCGUGCCUAACACAUGCAAGUCGAACGUGAAAGGGAGCAAUCCUGAGUAAAGUGGCGUACGGGUGAGUAACGCGUAGGUAAUCUACCCCAGAGUCUAGAAUAACCUGCCGAAAGGCGGGCUAAUACUGGAUAGAGCGAUGGAAUCCGUAAUUGGGUUUUUCGGGAAAGGGAGGAGGCAACUUCCCUUGCUUUGGGAUGAGCCUGCGUCUCAUUAGCUAGUUGGUAGGGUAACGGCCUACCAAGGCAAAGAUGGGUAGCUGGUCUGAGAGGAUGAUCAGCCACACUGGAACUGAAACACGGUCCAGACUCCUACGGGAGGCAGCAGUGGGGAAUCUUGCGCAAUGGACGAAAGUCUGACGCAGCCACGCCGCGUGAGUGAAGAAGGCCUUCGGGUUGUAAAGCUCUGUCGAGCGGGACGAAAACCCAUAGGGUGAAUAGCCCUGUGGACUGACGGUACCGCUAAAGGAAGCACCGGCUAACUCCGUGCCAGCAGCCGCGGUAAUACGGAGGGUGCAAGCGUUGCUCGGAAUUAUUGGGCGUAAAGGGUAGGUAGGUGGUCUCAUUUGUCAGAGGUGAAAGCCUUGGGCUUAACCC